rnacentral:misc_RNA from 1 species
GCCUCAUCCAAUGUCAAAUACCUGUAGAAGAAAAAGCAGCAAUGUUGGUAACUUUCUAUGCCAAUUAGUAGUAUGCAAGAUAUAACUAGCAGACAAAACACGGUUCCUUCAAAGAAUUAAAAAAUAGGAGAAAUGCGCAUCAAGUAUGCCAACAAAACAAUACAAUAGAAUCUCCUGACAACAAUACUAAGAAAUUGAAGGGGGAAAAAAAGCUUAGCAUAAAAAGCAAAGACAAGAUCUUUUCAUGUAAUUGGUACAAUCAAAU